GGUUGAUUAGCUCUGCUGGGAGAGCACCUCCCUUACAAGUAGGGGGUCGCCGUUUCGAUCCCGUCAUCCCCCACCA
rnacentral:tRNA from 1 species